GUUCCCCUUUGCCACCGAGGACAGUAGGCAUGGUUCCUGGAGAUGGUCAGUGCUCUCCUCCGGUGUCCAUGCCAGGGAGGACUCGCGUUAAGAGCAGCGGAUGCCCCUGCGUGACGCUGGCAGACCGGGCUCUUCACUGCCGGAAAGUGUCUGUGUCACUGGGGGAGACAGAGGGCGAUGUAGGCGGGCCGGUAACGUCAGAGAUGACACACACGCAGCUCACGCAGGGACAUCACGACUCAAGCACCCCGGUGGAUGUUCAUCAUGUGCUUUUCAAAGGCGUAUUAGGAUGUCAGAGCUGCUAAAUACACCGGCGUUGGGACACUCUGUAAUGUAGUAAGAUUUAUGACAUAAAUGUCUCAUUUACAGGGGCGGUGCUAAGAAUUAAGUGGCCCUUAAACCGAGAUUAAUUGAUGUUUUGGCCACAUGGGGGCAUCUCAACAAGUGUGUCAAUAUAAUAGAUGACGGUGUGGUGUAAACAUAACCUUAGGCAAGAUAAUAUGGCUAACGUGUUAGCAGUUGCCUGACACAACUAUGAGCAACAUUUACAGACAUGAAGAGUCUGUUUAAUAUUCACUUCCUUCUUAGGUUUGCUCUUCAUCAACUCUUAAUAAGAAAAAUACUGCCCUGAAAAGUAGAACUUUUUAGCUGCUAGUGUAAAUGCUCCACUAUGUUAACUAGCUAGCAUAUUUGCUAACUUUGUCUGUCUGUCGUUUGCUGCUGGGCUGGUAACCUGUACAAUCUGUUGUUAAGAGCUUUUUGCUGAAAUGAUAUGGAAAGGAGCAAUGACUUGCAUCUUUAUAUAUAUUUUAAAAUCUUUAUGGUGAUUUAUCUAAAACUUAGGCUAUGAAUCAGUAUAAUAUGUAUGGAUACUACUAACAUUACAGAGGCAAGAGAACAUUUAAAUGGAAAGUGAGCAAAUAUACUUUAUGGUAUUGUAUCCAAAUGUAAAUAUGUAACAAACAUACAUAUGUAAAUAUGUAAUAUAAACAUAAACAUAAACAUACAUACGUGAAUGGUAAGAUUUGAGCCAAGUCCAACACCGUGUAUGCCUUGUUACAAAUAUAUUUUGUUCACAACAAGGUGAAGUCUAGCCUAGCUAGAUGUUAUGUCACAGUAACCCAACCUGAUAGAUAUUUAUUAUUAUUUAGCAUAUUUAUCAUACCCCAUUUAUGUCAGUGGUUACUAAUAAAAUCCAGGAACAGUUUAACAAAACCCCCAUUAAGAUUUGCUUUCCUAAACAAGCAUGUAAGUGGACCUUGUUUUUUUUGUCUUGUUUUCAAGGUCAAGAAUGAACUUUUAAGUCAACGUGAAUGAGAAGUCCUAGAGAUCUGUGUAAUGUCCAAGGCAACUGAGCAAAUUCAAUCUGCUUAUGAGGUCUGCAUGAUAUGGCCAAAAGUGGACAUUGACUUGGCCUUGUGUGCUUGUCGAGUCCAUCUAUUUUUCUGCUUAAUGCAUUCUGGCCUGUGAAGUGGCUCUGGAUUGCAUGGAUUUUGCCUUGUCAUGAUAAAAUAUGAGCUGUCUCCCUGGCUCAGAUGGCUCUGGGGGAAGGCUGGGAGAAGAUGGAAAGACGGACACACAGAGCUUAAUAUAUUUGCAUUGACUUCAUUGAUUUAAGGAAUCAUAUUUGACACAUUGUUCCAUAUAACCACAUAUCCUCCUCUGAAACAGAAGCAGAAAUUUGGUUUGGGCUGCACACCCCUGAAACCACAGUGUCCCUUAUUUGUUUGAGGCACCUGUCAAAGACUGACCUCAGCCACAGUGUAUAUAGCUGGUAGUCCAGAUAUAGAAACUCAUUUAAACUGCAGAGUGUUGAAGAGACAAAAAACACUAGUUAAGGAGACGAAAAGGAUACAUACUGUGUACUGUGCCUAAUAAAUGAGCGACUUUGUGACGUCCAUUA